GACGAACGCUGGCGGCGUGCUUAACACAUGCAAGUCGAACGCUGAAGCUCAGCUUUUGUUGGGUGGAUGAGUGGCGAACGGGUGAGUAACACGUGAGUAACCUGCCCCCUUCUUUGGGAUAACGCCCGGAAACGGGUGCUAAUACUGGAUAUUCACUGGUCUUCGCAUGGGGGUUGGUGGAAAGGGUUUUUCUGGUGGGGGAUAGGCUCGCGGCCUAUCAGCUUGUUGGUGGGGUGAUGGCCUACCAAGGCUUUGACGGGUAGCCGGCCUGAGAGGGUGACCGGGCACAUUGGGACGGAGAUACGGCCCAGACUCCUACGGGAGGCAGCAGUGGGGAAUAUUGCACAAUGGGCGCAAGCCUGAUGCAGCGACGCCGCGUGAGGGAUGGAGGCCUUCGGGUUGUGAACCUCUUUCGCUCAUGGUCAAGCCGCAACAAUGGUUGUGGUGAGGGUAGUGGGUAAAGAAGCGCCGGCUAACUACGUG
rnacentral:rRNA from 1 species